ensembl:lncRNA
AGAACAGAUUGCAAAAAAUCAACAUAAACUUCUUAGACAACUGAGAAGAAGGGCCUGCAUGCAGGGAGAACCGCUUCAUUGAAACCGUGUUUUAAAAUUGGUGAUGGUUCUGGCUUUAAGAGAUCAUAAUUCAUGAGCUUAUCUGAAGUGACAUGUAAAUUACAUACAUACGUGUUUUUAAAGCAGGCAGUUGUUUAGCUUGACUAUCUCAGGUCUGAAGUUGAAUUUUACAAGUUAGAGUUGCAGCAAGAAACAACUUGACAUGCUGUGGUUAUGCAAUCAGGACAGGAGUGGUUAGAUGUAACCUGGGCUAGAAUGAACAUAGAAAUGAACACAGCAGUGUCUCCAGGGGCUGGGUAUUAAGAAGUUCCUUUUUUUUUUUUUUUUUUUCCCUAUUCAGUGUGUUCCUGAAAAAUGUAUUUCCUAGAUUGUAGGCUAGUCACAUAAUGUCAAGAUUGCUUUCUCUCUAUACUUGCAAGAGAAGAUGCAGCUUCCCCAGUCUGAAAUGGAAACUGAGAUUAACUGACCCCGAGCUACUGGGAGGCAGCUCAUCUCUGCAGCCCUAAUGGUGGCUGGUGGUGGUGCACUUGGAAGUCAUUCAAUGAGUGAUUGCAUUGAAUGGAAUUCACCUAAUUAGUUAAGAUCUGCAUUGUGUCAGAAACCUCCUUGGAAAUACAUUAGAUUCAGAUGUCCAUUUUCAUAGAUCAGUAGGAUAGUUUACCAGGAGCUCCCUAUUAUGCCUUAGGUAGAGUUUUUCAGUGCCGAAAAGUGUUGGACAGGAAAGUUAACAUACCAACCGAUAUGUCUUCUCAAGUUACUAGAAUGUCUAGUUAGGGGCAUCUUGAUUUGGGAUGUAUAUAUAUAUCUGUACUUGACAAAUAUUCUUCACUCCAGAUUGUGACUCUGGUCUUUGUCUUUUUUUUUUUUUUUGUCUGAGAGAUUCACAUUUUUAUAAGGUGCUUUAUGGUUUUCAGAGUUCUUUCGUGUACCCUUGUCUUAUUUGACAUUGUCCUGUGUCCUCAGCACUCCGGGUUGUCCAUGCUGGGAUCUCCCCCAGAAUGAUCCUGCGUUGAGUAGUCAGGGAGAGGGCCUGGGGAAGCUCAGGGAACCCCACCUCUUGGUUUACUGGAUUUUCCCAAGGAAGCCGGAAUGGGCCUUCACUGCUGUUCCCUCUAAGAUCACUCACAACAAGGAGAGUUGAGACCUGUCUCAUGCCCCGAGCACACUCAGCCUGCCAGCUUUCAGUCUGUGGCUCUGCCUCUACAUCUGUUCGCUCUCUUUGGGCUGCCUUUUACCUUGCUCCUUUGCCAAAUGUCCCUGUCACUUCCCUAUCCUUGCUGCAGUUUUUCCAUGGUUUUCUGUCCUACAUAUUUUUUUUUUGUCUUUUUUUGGGGGGAGGCCACACCCACAGCAUAUGGAGGAUCCCAGGCUAGGGUUCCAAUCAGAGCUGUAACCGCCGGCCUACACCAAAGCCAUAGCAACUCAGGAUCCGAGCCGCGUCUGUGACCUACACCACAGCUCACAGCAACGCUGGAUCCUUAGCCCACUGAGCCAGGCCAGGGAUUGAACCCGCAGCCUCAUAGAUGCUAGUCAGGUUCGCUAACCGCUGAGCCAUGAUGGGAACUCCUGUCCCCUAGGUUUUUAUCGCAGGCCGACCUGCUGCUUUUCCCACCACCUUACUUUUGCCUGCAAGACUUGGGUUGUGUGUCCAAAUGAUCUUUUCCAGUAUUUUAACCUUGUGUCCAGACCCACUUUUCUUUCUGACUCCUCCCACCUCUCCACGCAAGUGUAGACUUUCUACUCCCAGCCACUUCUCCCUUCUGUCCUCAGGGCCCCUGUGCCUCGUCCUCCUUUGGCCCCCACACCUCCCUUAUUACUUCCACCCACUUCUCUCCAUCAAGCCUUCAGAUCUUCCAGCACAUGCCUGCUUCUACCUGUUGCACUGAUGUUUACAGCAGUCAUGAGCUGAAGCUGCAUGCUUUGUACCUUGUACAAAAGUGGAGUUAGAACAUUCCCAAGUUUGGGGAUCUUUCUGCCUUUGUCUUCACUUUUGAUUCCACAGUAUUUUUGACUUUUAAAGGCUCUUGGGCCAUUUAGUAAGAGCUAAAGCACUUUGCUUCUUUAUUGGACUUAGCUCUUAGGUCCUAUGGUGGAUAAUAGAUAAAGAAUAUCUCGGUGAUUAUGAUUUUUAAAGAUUUGGGCAACAAACCUUGAAAAGCAUCUCAGAGGUUUUUAUAAUGGCACCUUCAAAAGGAUUUACUGUACACCAAAAUCUACCUAUAAAUCACAGAAGUAGGAUGGUUUCAUUUCAUCCUUAUUACCUUACUUUUUUGCUGAAAUAAAUGUUAGUUAAAUGAAUAUUGGUUAAAUUAAUAUUACUGUAACUCAAACCAAAUUUUUUCUCAUUUGCUGUGGUUUAAUGGCUCUCCAUGAAAAUUUUACAAGCUCACUAGACACAUUUAUGCCAGGCAAGGAUUCUUUAGCCAAGACCUAACAUUGUUGCUUUCCUUUAUAAAUUUAUAACCUAUGUUGGCCCUAUCAGUAGGGUCAGUGGGAGAAAAAGUAUUAAACUGAGGACUGCUACUGAGAAAACACAUCCUAUUGACUCCUUGCAUAGGAACUUGAAUCGGUCAUUUUCUAAACUGUCCUUCAAAAGUAGAGGCAACUGUAGUUAUGCAAUAUUCUGAGUGCUCCAGGGCUUUUGGAAGAAAGUGCUUUAAAGCGGAGAAGGGAGAAUGGUUUUUAAAUAAGAAUUCCCUUUCUUUGAUGGGUCUGUGUUUUAUUUCAGUGCAGUGAAUAUCGCAGUCAUUUCAGUUCAUUGUUAAGCCAUCUUUUUAGGACGCUUUCCACCUUGCUUGGUGACUUAUGAUUUUCCCGCCUGAGUAGGGGAGGGAAGGCCAAUGAGAGGUUGCUAGUCUUUGCUGAAAUGUGGGGACAUUUUUCACACCCCUCAUCACAAAUGCUAGUGGAGUAGGUGAGACCCACUCAGCAAUCUAAGUAAGAGCUGCAGUGUGUAUUAUCACAAGCGCUCCUAGAAGCUUCUCCCUGAACCCCCAGAGUCGACAAGGAGAUCUGCACAUGGUUAUUGACAGGGGAACCCCCAUAUUAACCCUAAGCUUUCUUUCAUGGGAGGAGUGAAAGGCCAGAUGUAGACUAGGAGACGCUGCAGGCUGCCAAGCCGAGGUUUGAGGAGAACUUUUCAAAGACACAGAUAACUGGUACACGCCAAGGGGUGGCUUCAGCAAUUCUGUCUGAAAGUUCUGCCCGAAGCAAUUUUCCUAGAUAAUUUUGUAACAGUUCUUACAAUUAAAGGGUUAUAAAGGAAUAAGCAACAUACAGCUCCUUCUGUGAUUCAGGUGGAUACUGUUACCAUGUUGAUGAAGGAGGUGAGAAUCCAGGAACCUCCUUAAGUUGCUUAAUAUUUACUGAAAAUUCAGAUGUUCUGGUGUCUGUGCCAGGAAUCCAGGACAGUCUAGGUACAGCUCCCAAAACAAAUGUUCUGCUUAUGCUUAGUGACCGCCCCGACACCCAGGCCCGCCCUGCCUGGGGCUCGCCUCCCUUCUGCUGCUUCUCUUGAGGUCCAAGCCUUUUCUCAGUCUCAGUUCUGUUCUCUUCACCAGGGAGCUUCUUCUCUGACCAUCAGAGUGCUUUCUCCCUUGGCUUCCAUGAACUCUUACAACACUUAUUUGAUGUUUAUUUAUUUUAUUGCAUUAUUGGUUUUGCUCUUCCUUUAUGUAUUUCUUGUUGCCCUACUGAAUUAUCACUUCUAGCAUGCCUAAUGGGCUUUAAGAGUAUCACGUGCUGAAUCGGUACCUGUGGGUUGAUUGACAGCUACUCAUUGGUCUGAGGUGAGGCUUAGAAUUUUUCCCUGUGAAGACCUUGCUCCCAUGUAAAACUCUUUAACCAAAUGAGGAAGUGGAGUUUCUCAGGGAUGAGAAAAGAUAAUGGGAAUUUUAAAAUUCUUUUGCUGGCCAAGGUUAAAGCAUCUAAUCUGUCUUGCUCACUUAGAUAAUGUAUUAAACAUUUACUUUUGUGGAUGAUACUUUGUGUCAUCUUCGUGCCUGGCACUGGCGAGAUGCAGGAGAUACAGAUAGAAACCCUGGCCCUGCCUUUUGUAGACUUCUCAGAGGAGCGUGGGAAUUGACACGCAAGCACGUGGUAGGUGGGAAGUGGUCAUGUGCCCUGGGAGUUGAGGGGAGAAGGCAGCCAACUCUGUCUCAGUGUAGGCUGAGCAGGCGUCCUGGUUUCCCUGGGACAGUCCUGGUCUGUGCCUGUUGUUCAACAUAUAUUAAUGCACCCCCUUUGCCCUCAGAAGUCUUCCCAGUUUGAAUAAUAAAUUGUAAGAUUCCCCCAACAUGGAGAAGUCAUAGAAGGCUUCACAGAGAAGGGGGUAUUUGGGAUGACACUUGAAAGCUACACAAGGAUAUUGUUUUGCAUUUCUAAAAAUAUUAGGGGACCAAUGUGGGUUUGCUAAUCAUUUCUCCUCAUUUUCUGUGGAUUCAGACUAAUUCAUAGACUGGCAUUUGGGGACAAAGGGACUUGGGGUUAGAUGGAAGAUGGAGUAGGGCCCUCCAGGUGGAGGACACACGAUGUUGUGGAGACACGUGGAUGUGGGUCAGUGUGGCUGGCUUUUCUGCAUCUGGUGGUGCACAGUGGGAAACGAGCCUGGGAACUCUGCAAGGCCUCACUGGUGAGGAGUUUGGACUUAUUGCCCGACAUAGAAGCAGUGAGAGGCAUUGAAAGAUUGUCAAUAGAGGAGACACAUAAUUUGCAUGAUAGAUGGUUCCUUUGUGAGAGUGAGUAAAAGUCUAGAGGGGAACAGAGAGUGUCCCUAGAUACCUGCCACACACUAGGGGGCUCAGCACGGGUUUGUUGAAUGAAUGCAUGAGAGUUUUUGAAUAUGUGGUAUUUGAAGUCACAUGGUUUUGUAUGAAAUUUGUCAGGGGAAGUAAAUAGAGGGAGAGCACUAACCACGCAUUUCAGGGAACACCAACCUUUACGGGCUGUGGACGGACAGGAGAGUGAAGGAGCCUGAAAAGUGCAGACUCUCAGAGAGCCAGGAGAACCAGGAGGUAGUGUCAGGAAGAAAGGACAGACCAAGAACUGGAAUGUGCUUAGAAUUGUCACAUGAAGAAGUAAAAUCGUAUUGAAGGGGUUUUCUCAAAUUUCGUAAUUAUGUUACUGUAUUAGAAGUGGAAAUGUUUACCUUAUGGGAGAUAUCAGGAUACAGGUCUUAGCAUUAUAAUAUUAUUAUAUUCAUGCUGCAUGCAGAGUUUGAUGGUUUUUUCUUUUUUUCUUUUUCUUCUUCUUUUUUUUUUUUCCCCCUGUGGAGCUGUAUUCGCUUGUCUACGCCACAGCCACAGCAACACAGGAUCUGAGCCAUGUCUGCAACCUACACCCCAACUCACAGCAAUGCCAGAUCCUUGGUGCACUGAGCAAGGCCAGGGAUCAAACCUGCAUCCUUAUGGCUGCUGGUCAGGUUCAUUAACCACUGAACCACGAUGGGCACUCCCAGAGUCUGAUGUUUUUAUAACUUUGUUGGUUUUAUAUGUUGAGAUUCUGAGGUUUGCCAUAUAUAAUUUAUGCCAGUGUAGUAAAAGUUUGGAACCAUGUUUUGGGAAGAUGGUGAAAUAGCACAGUAUUUUAAUCAUUGUGAAUUUAUGACUGUGCAUGGUAAUUUAUAAAGGGGUUAAAAUACUCGAGUGUUUAAUAUUCCACCAGGUGAUGAGCCAUCCACAGUAUGGAACCUUAAGUGACAUCAUAUCAUGGUCACAAAGGGCGGCUAGAUGCAAAAGCCAGCCGAGUGGCAGUGUCGUUGAAGGUUGUGGUAUAAAUACUCUUGUUGCAGAGCAGAUGGUUAUUUGUCCUCCGGCUCCACUGGGGGACCCUGGUUAGAGGUGGGGGCUGCAUCAUAAUGUGUUGGAAAGGGUGUGGGCUUAGGAUUCAGCAAAUUUUAUCCCAUUUUCAUGACCUCCUAACUCAAGCUUCAUGAUCUUGAGCACCAAUGGUAAUAACUGACAAUAGCAAUAAAAAAACUAACUUGUAUUGAGUGCUUUCUCCUGGGUGCUGUGCUUGUAUUGAGUUUUCUCUGUGCCCGGGUGCUGUGCUGAGUACAUGGCAUACAUGGUCCUCUUGAAUGCUUGCAACAACCUUCUGAAGAACCUUCUGAAGAAACCUGUGACUAUUACUACUACUUUUAGAUAAGGAAGAACUGAGCCUCCGUCAGGGCCUCUGGGACCUCGAUCAAGGUCCUGUGGCCGGCAAGUGGCCGUGCUGAGUCUGGAGUGCAGGCUGUCUGACUCUCAAGUCAGGCUUUUAAUUCCCAACUCCUGGGCGGUUCUCUCUUCUGCAUUUCCCUUCCUCUUCCCACCACGCACCUGUUCCCUUCCCCUCACCUACUGGUUCUUUUUGAAACAAAUCACAGACAUUAUGUCCUCUUGUCUGUAUAUACUAGAUUAUAUUUCUAAAUGAUAAUGGCUGUUUUUGUUUUUUUUUUAACAUAACCACAAUGUCAUUCCUAAAAAAUAACACUAAUUCCUUAAUAUCAAAUAUCUAGUUAGUACUAGGGAACAUGAAGUUGCAGGUUCAGUCCCUGGCCUUGCUCACUGGGUUAGGGAUCCAGCGUUGCCAUGAGCUGUGGUGUGGGUCGCAGAUGUGGUUCGGAUCUGGUGUGGCUGUGGCUGUGGCUGUGGCUGUGGCCGGUUAAACACCUAGCCUGGGAACCUCCAUAUGCCAAGGGUGCGGCCCUAGAAAAGACCAAAAAAAAAAAAAAAAAAAAAAAAAAA